rnacentral:rRNA from 1 species
AACAGCUCAAAUUUGAAAUCUGGCCUCGUCGGGGCCCGAGUUGUAAUUUGUAGAGGGUGUUUCGGGCGCGAUGCCGGUCUAAGUUCCUUGGAACAGGACGUCGUAGAGGGUGAGAAUCCCGUAUGCGACCGGCGAUCAAGCCCGUGCGAAGCCCCUUCGACGAGUCGAGUUGUUUGGGAAUGCAGCUCAAAACGGGUGGUAAAUUUCAUCUAAAGCUAAAUACCGGCCAGAGACCGAUAGCGGACAAGUAGAGUGAUCGAAAGAUGAAAAGCACUUUGGAAAGAGAGUCAAACAGUACGUGAAAUUGUUGAAAGGGAAGCGCUUGCGAUCAGACCGGUCCGGAGGCGAUCAGCCGCUGCUCGUCAGCGGUGCACUCGCCUGCGAUCCGGCCAGCAUCGGUUUGGGCGGCGGGACAAAAGUCCCGGGAAUGUAGCUUCCCUCGGGGAGUCUUAUAGCCCGGGGCGCCAUGCCGCCCGCCCGGACCGAGGACCGCGCUUCGGCUAGGAUGCUGGCGUAAUGGUUGCAAGCGACCCGUCUUGAAACACGGACCAAGGAGUCUAACAUCUAUGCGAGUGUUUGGGUGUCAAACCCCGGCGCGGAAUGAAAGUGAACGGAGGUGGGAACCCGUCAGACGGCGCACCAUCGACCGAUCCAGAUGUCUUCGGAUGGAUUUGAGUAUGAGCAUAGCUGUUGGGACC